rnacentral:rRNA from 1 species
UCCUAGCCCUAAACGAUGCUCACUAGGUGUUAGAGGUAUCGACCCCUCUGGUGCCGCAGUUAACGCGUUAAGUGAGCCGCCUGGGGAUUACGACCGCAAGGUUAAAACUCAAAUGAAUUGACGGGGGCCCGCACAAGCGGUGGAGCAUGUGGUUUAAUUCGAUGCUACGCGAACAACCUUACCUGGGUUUGACAUGCUAGUAGUAGAAGCCCGAAAGGGUAACGAUGUACCUUUGGUGCAAGCUAGCACAGGUGCUGCAUGGCUGUCGUCAGUUCGUGUCGUGAGAUGUUGGGUUAAGUC